GUCGAACGGUAGCAGGGUGUGCUUGCACAUCGCUGACGAGUGGCGGACGGGUGAGUAAUGCUUGGGAACUUGCCUUUGCGAGGGGGAUAACAGUUGGAAACGGCUGCUAAUACCGCAUAAUGUCUUCGGACCAAACGGGGCUUAGGCUCCGGCGCAGAGAGAGGCCCAAGUGAGAUUAGCUAGUUGGUGGGGUAAAGGCUCACCAAGGCAACGAUCUCUAGCUGUUCUGAGAGGAAGAUCAGCCACACUGGGACUGAGACACGGCCCAGACUCCUACGGGAGGCAGCAGUGGGGAAUAUUGCACAAUGGGGGAAACCCUGAUCUAGCCAUGCCGCGUGUGUAAUGAAGGCCCUAGGGUCGUAAAGCACUUUCGCCAGAGAUGAUAAUGACAGUAUCUGGUAAAGAAACCCCGGCUAACUCCGUGCCAGCAGCCGCGGUAAUACGGAGGGGGUUAGCGUUGUUCGGAAUUACUGGGCGUAAAGCGCACGUAGGUGGAUUAGUAAGUUAGAGGUGAAAUCCCAGGGCUCAACCCUGGAACUGCCUUUAAUACUGCUAGUCUUGAGUUCGAGAGAGGUAAGUGGAAUUCCGAGUGUAGAGGUGAAAUUCGUAGAUAUUCGGAGGAACACCAGUGGCGAAAGCGGCUUACUGGC
rnacentral:rRNA from 1 species